CAGGUUGACGUGAGGUAAUCAAUUUGAACAUCUAAGUCGCCUUGAUUCCGUUACGUCGUCCGCUAUUAAUUACAUUCAAAACCGCUGCGUGCCCGUAAUUAGUCUGCUUCUACAAUUUUGAUUCCCCUAGUUUAAGGGCCCCUCUUGUGACUGUACCUGUUACGAAGACUUGUGGUGGAUUCAAGUAAAAUAUCAUGUUCAGUCAUUCUUGUGAUGUGCUGCUCACGGCGUCUGAUAUACCGAGGCUUGCGAGUCGCUGCACUAAUCCAAUUAUUUUCUAGUGCUUUCCAUCAGAUCAUCUAUCGUAAGACUGUGAGCCCUUCUUUGCUCUUUCCUCUACGUUUCGCCUUCAGGUAAUUUUAAAGUCAAAGAUAAUACCUUAGUAUUUUGCCUCGCAGGAAAUAUUCAGGCCAGUCCUUUCAAGCUUUGGAAUUCAGCAAUUUUUGUUUUCCUCGUGACAAGACAAGUUCGGUUUUGAAAGGGUCAGUAAUUUGCCAGCUACCGCAAUCUACUUAACGUUAACUUCAAAAUUAGAAUCGAGAUUCGCAAAUGAAAAUCUCGGUUCGAUAAAAGUCUGAUCACCACAUAUUUACUUGCUUGCAGUGGCUAGUAGAGCGUCUUUCAAACAUAGCAACACGGUCUGUGGGGUCUGAAGAUCUAAUUUUAUUUGGAUACCUCUCUUUAAACUAGAAUUGCCAGCAGAUAUUCUGUGGAAAGCUGUUCGAACUGCAACGUUUGGUUGUGCUACUUAAUAUGGUGGAGACGGUCAGUUUUUCUACCUGUGUAGUCCAUCUUUCGCGGCGUUCUUAUUCCUGUUACUAUUGUACAUUGGGCUGCUUUCACCAACGGCGAAAGGCUGAAUAUCGUUUAUAAAAAUUUUACCGAUACUGUAAAAAAAUUAACUAAAGGCGAUGAAGUCAAGAUCCGUUCCAUGGAAGCUUUCUACAUGUGGCUUAACUUAAGAUAAUAGUUUUCGACAGGCUAUUGGGCACACAAACCUUUGCCGAACUCUGGUCCUUUGUGACUUUUCGGAUGCCAUAGCUUUCUUUUCCAGUAACUAUUCUCCUUUCGAAAUGCACCUUUAGCUAUAAAGAGCUGGAUCUACCACGUGUUGCAGAAAUGUGUAAUAAGAGACGUAUAAUGGGAGCUCUAUAAGAAAAAUUUAAGUGGUAAACACUGGAUUCCACGAAUGCUGCAAAUAUGUGUGGGCGUCUAAUAGAAAUCUUACAUUAGGACCCCGAGCAUUGUCCUUAAGUCGAAAAGGCUCGAUAUCGCUUAAGUGUACACGGCCUUAGGACCCCGAGUAGAGACCUUACGCAAGCUUUCUAUUAAACGCCAGACAUUUCUGCUGCACAUGGAAGAUCAUCGACCUUACUUCGGGUUUCUAGCCUCCAAAGCACCAUGGUAAAAUCAGUUUAAAAAUAGCCAUUCUUUUAUGAAUUUAUUUCAAUCUCGUACGGCACAGCACUGCUUAAAAAUGAACACAACUUGCCGAAAUUCCACGAACAAACUGAAAAACACUUCUAUUUUCAACAAAACACUAUCAAAAUUUAACUAAAAGCCACUCAACUAUCCCAUUUAAGCCAAUUUAAUCCACCCAAAAGUAUCAAAGAAUGUUCUCGAAAUGACGUAGAAUGCACACUUGAAUUUGCUGGCUUCCACAUCCCACCAGCUGCUUAUUCUUCUUCGCCAACUACUUCCACACCGUAGAGGCGGAAUGUGAGUGGAAAACUGUCAUAAAUACAUAGUCGGCUGCAAACACAAGAAAGUGCAACAACAACAUCUAACUCAAACUGAGCAGGGAAAAUUGUAUUUAGCUGUAGCCGCAUACCACAAGAUGAUGCACGAAGGCACAGUGCAACACAACGACGAUGGUUGACGGCCUAUCAGGCAAAGAAACGUGAAAACGAGUGGAAAAUUUUUUGCACAACAUUUGCAAAAAGUCGAUGAAGGUGUCAUGCCGCUAGUGGAUAGUCGGUCUCGCAUGUGGAAUGAGUAGAGUCAGCGAGCGAUGAGAGUAUGAGAGUUUACAUGGCGAGAGCGUGAGAGUCAGCUGAUUGCUCGGCUGCACUACCGGCUCACCAGCACUUGCUGUUCGCAGAAGUGCAAGAACUUUCUGUUUACUCCUUAUGUAGUUGGAUACCUUUCCGAUACCCAAAUACCCGAUCGCACGUACUCAGCGCGAAAGAUAAGCAGCAGAAAGGAAGGCAGACGGCAAGCAAUCGGUGACGACAAUUGAAAUUGGGGUGGGCCUGCUGUUUGUUCGUUGCUUUGCCGCGCGCGCUGUCUUCUGAGGCGAGCGCAAGUGUUUGCUCUUCUCGCUGCGUUUUUUCUCGAAUGUGGCCCGGCCGCUCCAACACACUCUCUCUGGCGCUCGGUAUCUCACUUUCCUUAUAGUUCCACAGUCAUUUCGUUAGCUACCUCAGUAUUGCUCUACCUGUCGAACUAAACGUAUCACACGCGGAACGCUAAGCGAAACAAUAUGUUAAAUAUCAAGGAAAUAAUCAAAUAUCAGUGCCGAAGCAGAAAUCAAAACUUCUAUUAAAAAACUAAAAACAAUACAUUUUUACAAAAACGAAAGUGUCACAAGCCACCAGCUGCUACUAAAUGGAAAUCCAUUUAUACAAAAUAACCGAAAAAAAACACAUACUAAAAAGUGCUGAGUUAAUGAAUGAAAAGUUAAACAAAACGUAAAAAUAGUUGCCUUAUCGUCGUAAAAAAGAACAAAACCCCAAACAAAGUUUGAAGAGAAAUGCUUCCUUGUUGAAAACUUGAAAGCAAUAAAAAUAAUACUACGUAAAAAA